rnacentral:rRNA from 1 species
UCCGGUUGAUCCUGCCAGAGGCGACCGCUUUUGGAGUUCGAUUAAGCCAUGCGAGUAGAAUGAAUUAGAUUCAUUGCAAACUGCUCAGUAACACGUGGAUAACCUGCCCUAUGCUCUGGGAUAACCUCGGGAAACUGAGAAUAAUACCGGAUAGAUCACAACGCCUGGAACGGUGUGUGGUUCAAAGGUUACGGCAUAGGAUGGGUCUGCGGCGUAUCAGGUCGUAGGGGGUGUAAUGGACCCCCUAGCCAUCGACGCGUACGGGUGUUGGGAGACAUAGCCCGGAGACGGAUUCUGAGACACGAAUCCGGACCCUACGGGGUGCAGCAGGCGCGAAAACUUCACACUGCAGGAAACUGUGAUGAGGGAACUCCAAGUGGAUGCACAUAGUGUAUCUCUUUUCCUUACUAUUAAUCGGUAGGGGAAUAAGGGCUGGGAAAGACCGGUGCCAGCCGCCGCGGUAAUACCGGCAGCUCGAGUGGUCGUCGCUUUUAUUGGGCCUAAAACGUCCGUAGCCGGUUUGGUAAAUCUGUGGGUAAAUCAACUAGCUUAACUAGUUGAAUUCUGCAGAGACUGCCAGACUAGGAACCGGGAGAGGUGUGGGGUACUCAAGGGGUAGGGGUAAAAUCCUGUCAUCCUUUGGAGACCACCAGUUGCGAAGGCGCCACACUGGAACGGAUUCGACGGUCAGGGACGAAGCCUAGGGGCACGAACCGGAUUAGAUACCCGGGUAGUCCUAGGUGUAAACGCUGUGAACUUGGUGUCGGGAGUCCGCAAUGGGCCCCCGGUGCCGGAGUGAAGAUGUUAAGUUCACUGCCUGGGGAGUACGGUCGCAAGGCUGAAACUUAAAGGAAUUGGCGGGGGAGCACUGCAACGCGAGGAGCGUGCGGUUUAAUUGGAUUCAACGCCGGAAAACUCACCAUGGCCGACUGUUAGAUGAAGACCAGCGUAAUGAGCUUGUCGGAUUUUCAGAGAGGUGGUGCAUGGCCGUCGUCAGUUCGUACUGUAAAGCGUUCUGUUAAGUCAGAUAACGAACGAGACCCUCAUCUCUAUUUGCUACCCUUCUCUCCGGAGGAGGCGCACCAUAGAGAGA